UACGGGGGGAGCAAGCGUUGUUCGGAUUUACUGGGCGUUAAAGGGCGCGUAGGCGGCCACCGCAAGUCAAUUGUGAAAUCUCCGGGCUUAACUCGGAAAGGUCAACUGAUACUGCGGGGCUAGAGUGCGGAAGGGGCAACUGGAAUUCUCGGUGUAGCGGUGAAAUGCGUAGAUAUCGAGAGGAACACCUGCGGCGAAGGCGGGUUGCUGGGCCGACACUGACGCUGAUGACGCGAAAGCC
rnacentral:rRNA from 1 species